UACGGAGGGUGCGAGCGUUGUCCGGAAUCACUGGGCGUAAAGGGCGCGUAGGCGGCGCGGGUAGUCAUCGGUGAAAGUUCAGGGCUCAACUCUGAAUCGGCCGGUGAUACUCCCGUGCUCGAGCACUGUAGAGGCAGGUGGAAUUCCGGGUGUAGCGGUGGAAUGCGUAGAUAUCUGGAGGAACACCAGUGGCGAAGGCGGCUUCCUGGCCUGCAACUGACGCUGAGACGCGAAAGCGUGGGGAGCGAACCGG
rnacentral:rRNA from 1 species